rnacentral:rRNA from 1 species
UACGAAGGGGGCUAGCGUUGUUCGGAAUUACUGGGCGUAAAGGGCGCGUAGGCGGCCGAUCAAGUCAGGCGUGAAAUUCCCGGGCUCAACCUGGGGGCUGCGCUUGAUACUGAUUGGCUUGAAUGCGGGAGAGGAUAGUGGAAUUCCCAGUGUAGAGGUGAAAUUCGUAGAUAUUGGGAAGAACACCGGUGGCGAAGGCGGCUCACUGGCUCGUAUCUGACGCUCAGGCGCGACAGCGUGGGGAUCAAACAGG